UGGGGAAUUUUGGACAAUGGGGGAAACCCUGAUCCAGCCAUCCCGCGUGUGUGAUGAAGGCCUUCGGGUUGUAAAGCACUUUUGGCAGGAAAGAAACGUCGCGGGUUAAUACCCCGCGAAACUGACGGUACCUGCAGAAUAAGCACCGGCUAACUACGUGCCAGCAGCCGCGGUAAUACGUAGGGUGCAAGCGUUAAUCGGAAUUACUGGGCGUAAAGCGUGCGCAGGCGGUUCGGAAAGAAAGAUGUGAAAUCCCAGAGCUUAACUUUGGAACUGCAUUUUUAACUACCGGGCUAGAGUGUGUCAGAGGGAGGUGGAAUUCCGCGUGUAGCAGUGAAAUGCGUAGAUAUGCGGAGGAACACCGAUGGCGAAGGCAGCCUCCUGGGAUAACACUGACGCUCAUGCACGAAAGCGUGGGGAGCAAACAGGAUUAGAUACCCUGGUAGUCCACGCCCUAAACGAUGUCAACUAGCUGUUGGGGCCUUCGGGCCUUGGUAGCGCAGCUAACGCGUGAAGUUGACCGCCUGGGGAGUACGGUCGCAAGAUUAAAACUUAAAUGAAUUG
rnacentral:rRNA from 1 species